UACGUAGGGACCAAGCGUUGUUCGGAUUUACUGGGCGUAAAGGGCGUGCAGGCGGUCUGUUAAGUUCAGGGUGAAAGCUCCCGGCUCAACUGGGAGAGGUCCUUGGAUACUGGCAGACUUGAGGGAGGUAGAGGAGAGUGGAAUUCCCGGUGUAGUGGUGAUAUGCGCAGAUAUCAGGAAGAACACCCGUGGCGAAGGCGGCUCUCUGGAACGCAACUGACGCUGAGACGCGAAAGCGUGGGGAGCAAACAGG
rnacentral:rRNA from 1 species